rnacentral:rRNA from 1 species
GAUGAACGCUGGCGGCGUGCCUAAUACAUGCAAGUCGAGCGAACAGACGAGGAGCUUGCUCCUCUGACGUUAGCGGCGGACGGGUGAGUAACACGUGGAUAACCUACCUAUAAGACUGGGAUAACUUCGGGAAACCGGAGCUAAUACCGGAUAAUAUAUUGAACCGCAUGGUUCAAUAGUGAAAGACGGUUUUGCUGUCACUUAUAGAUGGAUCCGCGCCGCAUUAGCUAGUUGGUAAGGUAACGGCUUACCAAGGCAACGAUGCGUAGCCGACCUGAGAGGGUGAUCGGCCACACUGGAACUGAGACACGGUCCAGACUCCUACGGGAGGCCGCCGUAGGGAAUCUUCCGCAAUGGGCGAAAGCCUGACGGAGCAACGCCGCGUGAGUGAUGAAGGUCUUCGGAUCGUAAAACUCUGUUAUUAGGGAAGAACAAAUGUGUAAGUAACUAUGCACGUCUUGACGGUACCUAAUCAGAAAGCCCCGGCUAACUACGUG